rnacentral:rRNA from 1 species
AGAGUUUGAUCCUGGCUCAGGACGAACGCUGGCGGCGUGCCUAACACAUGCAAGUCGAACGGAGUUGAAAGGAGCUUGCUUUUUUCAACUUAGUGGCGGACGGGUGAGUAACGCGUGAGUAACCUGCCUUUCAGAGGGGGAUAACGUUCUGAAAAGAACGCUAAUACCGCAUAAGAUUGUAGUUUCGCAUGGGACAGCAAUCAAAGGAGCAAUCCGCUGAAAGAUGGACUCGCGUCCGAUUAGAUAGUUGGCGGGGUAACGGCCCACCAAGUCGACGAUCGGUAGCCGGACUGAGAGGUUGAUCGGCCACAUUGGGACUGAGACACGGCCCAGACUCCUACGGGAGGCAGCAGUGAGGGAUAUUGGGCAAUGGGGGAAACCCUGACCCAGCAACGCCGCGUGAGGGAUGACGGUUUUCGGAUUGUAAACCUCUGUCCUCUGUGAAGAUAGUGACGGUAGCAGAGGAGGAAGCUCCGGCUAACUACGUGCCAGCAGCCGCGGUAAUACGUAGGGAGCGAGCGUUGUCCGGAUUUACUGGGUGUAAAGGGUGCGUAGGCGGAUUGGCAAGUCAGAAGUGAAAUCCAUGGGCUUAACCCAUGAACUGCUUUUGAAACUGUUAGUCUUGAGUGAAGUAGAGGUAGGCGGAAUUCCCGGUGUAGCGGUGAAAUGCGUAGAGAUCGGGAGGAACACCAGUGGCGAAGGCGGCCUACUGGGCUUUAACUGACGCUGAGGCACGAAAGCAUGGGUAGCAAACAGGAUUAGAUACCCUGGUAGUCCAUGCCGUAAACGAUGAUUACUAGGUGUGGGGGGAUUGACCCCUUCCGUGCCGCAGUUAACACAAUAAGUAAUCCACCUGGGGAGUACGACCGCAAGGUUG